AGAUUGAACGCUGGCGGUAUGCUUAACACAUGCAAGUCGAACGGCAGCACAGGGUGGCUUGCUAUCCGGGUGGCGAGUGGCGGACGGGUGAGUAACGCGUAGGAAUCUACCUUUUCGUGGGGGAUAACCCGGGGAAACUCGGGCUAAUACCGCAUACGCCCUACGGGGGAAAGCGGGGGACCUUCGGGCCUCGCGCGGAACGAUGAGCCUGCGUCCUAUCAGGUAGUUGGUGAGGUAAUGGCUCACCAAGCCGACGACGGGUAGCUGGUCUGAGAGGACGACCAGCCACACUGGGACUGAGCACGGCCCAGACUCCGUACGGGAGGCAGCAGGUGGGAAUAUUGGACAAGUGGGGGAAACCCUGAUCCGAGUCAACUACCGCGUGUAGGUAGUAAGGAAGUCCGUUCGGGUUAGUAAAGUCUAACUUUAGGAC
rnacentral:rRNA from 1 species